UCAUUAGAGGAUUAGUAUAUAGUUGCUCCUCUAGGUAAGACUUGAAAAUCUUAUUAUAGUAUAGCAUAAGCUUUGUAGUAGAGCUCCACCUUGCUGAAAAGUUUUCUUUUUUGAGUUGUUGGUGGGAAUACUAUGGUUCUCUCGAUAGAUAAGCAACAACCAGAAGAAGAUAGCAGCACAAUUGUGGAAGGUACAGAAGAGGCUCAGGAUAAGUAGUCGCCGCAUAUAUUGAAACUGUUGAAGUUAUUGAUGUUCUCACAAACUUCUCAGACAUCUCAAUGCCUUUUCACAGUAUGCAGAACAAUUGACAGUCAAGAUAUGGUCUCGGAAGCAUACCUACUUAUUGGUGUUUCUUUGUGACUUUGGCAGUUCUUUGCCUCCCGUUUUAGAAUAUGAACC